rnacentral:tRNA from 1 species
GCCCGGGUAGCUCAGUUGGUAGAGCAGGGGAUUGAAAAUCCCCGUGUCGGCAGUUCGAAUCUGUCCCCGGGCACCA